UGGAAACUUAUUUCCCUUAAUCUUCCACUAAUUCGAUCUUCCUUUGCCUCGUCUGCGCAAAAAAAACUUCCUCCCUUACACUCGGAAAGUCGAUUCCUUCCACUUUGAGGUAGUUUUUUUUAUUUUCUUUCUUGGUAAAUUUGUGGUUUUUUUGUGAAGUUUCUUUUAGUAUGUCAUUCUUGUCUUUGUUUGUUUUCUUCCUUGUUGUUUUGCAAUGGAUUUGUUGAUGGAGGUUUUGACUUUCAACACCGACGACUUUUCCCUUCUGUCUUGGACCGAUGAAUGGCUAUUGAAGGUAGCUCGCGAAGAUAUAUCUCAAAAGCGCGAUUGGAUUGUUAAAGAGCGCACUCCUACACCUUUUAUUGACAUUAUCUUCGAUCUGAGGAAGUCUCUUUGAUCUGGAUACUGUAUCUAUGAGUUCAACGAUUAACAAAAGUUUUAAGGGCAGUCCAACUUGAUCCGGUGGUUGUGGGAUUUCCUCUUCUUAAUCAAUGGAUUCAUGCAUCUCCCUGAACUUCAGUUAGUCAAUAUAACCUCUAUGACUACAGCAGGAGGGGUUUUUAUGGAGCCACAUUAAUCUUUUCUUUGGUAGGCAGAGUUUCUGAGGGAGUGAGACAUGUUCUGAAAAGAUGGAGAUGCUACCAUUUGAGUUGGAUUCGGAUCAAGUUUAUUGGGUCUCUAGAGUUUAAUCUAAUGUUAAGCCAUAGAAACUUGGUUUAUCGGUUCUACUGUAGGCUUGGGCUAUAAAUCUUUAUCAAUGAAAUUUUACUUUCUGAUAUAUAUAAAACUCUAAGAAUUUUCUUUUUCAACA
rnacentral:lncRNA from 1 species